rnacentral:rRNA from 1 species
AACGAACGCUGGCGGCAGGCUUAACACAUGCAAGUCGAACGCCCCGCAAGGGGAGUGGCGCACGGGUGAGUAACGCGUGGGAAUAUGCCCUUCGGUUCGGAAUAACACAGGGAAACUUGUGCUAAUACCGGAUACGAUCUACGGAUGAAAGAUUUAUCGCCGAGGGAGUAGCCCGCGUAGGAUUAGCUAGUUGGUGAGGUAAUGGCUCACCAAGGCGACGAUCCUUAGCUGGUCUGAGAGGAUGAUCAGCCACACUGGGACUGAGACACGGCCCAGACUCCUACGGGAGGCAGCAGUGGGGAAUAUUGGACAAUGGGCGAAAGCCUGAUCCAGCCAUGCCGCGUGAGUGAUGAAGGCCUUAGGGUUGUAAAGCUCUUUCGCCAGGGAAGAUAAUGACGGUACCUGGAAAAGAAGCCUCGGCUAACUCCGUGCCAGCAGCCGCGGUAACAC